GCAAACAGGAUUAGAUACCUGGUAGUCACGCCGUAAACGAUGAGUGCUAAGUGUUGGAGGGUUUCCCCAUUCAGUGCUGCAGCUAACGCAUUAAGCACUCCGCUGGGGAGUACGACCGCAAGGUUGAAACUCAAAGGAAUUGACGGGGGCCCGCACAAGCGGUGGAGCAUGUGGUUUAAUUCGAAGCAACGCGAAGAACCUUACCAGGUCUUGACAUCCUUUGACCACUCUAGAGAUAGAGCUUUCCCUUCGGGGACAAAGUGACAGGUGGUGCAUGGUUGUCGUCAGCUCGUGUCGUGAGAUGUUGGGUUAAGUCCCGCAACGAGCGCAACCCUUAUUGUUAGUUGCCAUCAUUCAGUUGGGCACUCUAGCGAGACUGCCGGUGACAAACCGGAGGAAGGUGGGGAUGACGUCAAAUCAUCAUGCCCCUUAUGACCUGGGCUACACACGUGCUACAAUGGGAAGUACAACGAGUCGCUAGGCCGCGAGGUCAUGCAAAUCUCUUAAAGCUUCUCUCAGUUCGGAUUGCAGGCUGCAACUCGCCUGCAUGAAGCCGGAAUCGCUAGUAAUCGCGGAUCAGCACGCCGCGGUGAAUACGUUCCCGGGCCUUGUACACACCGCCCGUCACACCACGAAAGUUUGUAACACCCGAAGUCGGUGAGGUAACCUUUUGGAGCCAGCCGCCUAAGGUGGGAUAGAUGAUUGGGGUGAAGUCGUAACAAGGUAACCAAGGGCGAAUUCCAG
rnacentral:rRNA from 1 species